rnacentral:rRNA from 1 species
AGUCAAUAGAUACCCGGGUAGUCCAUGCCGUAAACGAUGAUUGCUAGGUGUGGGGGGUCUGACCCCUUCCGUGCCGGAGUUAAACACAAAUAAGCAAUCCACCUGGGGAGUACGGCCGCAAGGUUGAAACUCAAAGGAAUUGACGGGGGCCCGCACAAGCAGUGGAGUAUGUGGUUUAAUUCGAAGCAACGCGAAGAACCUUACCAGGUCUUGACAUCCACCGAAUCCUGUAGAGAUACGGGAGUGCCCUUCGGGGAACGGUGAGACAGGUGGUGCAUGGUUGUCGUCAGCUCGUGUCGUGAGAUGUUGGGUUAAGUCCCGCAACGAGCGCAACCCUUGUGAAUAGUUGCUACGAAAGAGCACUCUAUUCAGACCGCCGUUGACAAAACGGAGGAAGGUGGGGAUGACGUCAAAUCAUCAUGCCCCUUAUGACCUGGGCUACACACGUACUACAAUGGCCGUUAACAGAGGGAUGCAAUGCCGCGAGGUGGAGCGAACCCGUAAAACCGGUCUCAGUUCAGAUUGCAGGCUGAAACUCG